GUGGGGAAUUUUGGACAAUGGGCGCAAGCCUGAUCCAGCAAUGCCGCGUGCAGGAAGAAGGCCUUCGGGUUGUAAACUGCUUUUGUACGGAACGAAAAGGCUCUGGUUAAUACCUGGGGCUCAUGACGGUACCGUAAGAAUAAGCACCGGCUAACUACGUGCCAGCAGCCGCGGUAAUACGUAGGGUGCAAGCGUUAAUCGGAAUUACUGGGCGUAAAGCGUGCGCAGGCGGUUUUGUAAGACAGGCGUGAAAUCCCCGGGCUCAACCUGGGAAUGGCGCUUGUGACUGCAAGGCUGGAGUGCGGCAGAGGGGGAUGGAAUUCCGCGUGUAGCAGUGAAAUGCGUAGAUAUGCGGAGGAACACCGAUGGCGAAGGCAAUCCCCUGGGCCUGCACUGACGCUCAUGCACGAAAGCGUGGGGAGCAAACAGGAUUAGAUACCCGGGUAGUCC
rnacentral:rRNA from 1 species